rfam:Lupinus angustifolius cultivar Tanjil contig_37926, whole genome shotgun sequence.
GUGCCCAUUGUGUAGUGGUUCAAAACAUCUCUCUUUCAAUGAGACAGCGGGGAUUAGAUUUCCCCUAGGGGUA